UGGGGAAUAUUGCGCAAUGGUGGAAACCCUGACGCAGCGACGCCGCGUGCGGGAUGAAGGCCUUCGGGUUGUAAACCGCUUUUGAUUGGGAGCAAGCCUUUUGGGUGAGUGUACCUUUCGAAUAAGCGCCGGCUAACUACGUGCCAGCAGCCGCGGUAAUACGUAGGGCGCAAGCGUUAUCCGGAAUUUUUGGGCGUAAAGAGCUUGUAGGCGGUUCGUCGCGUCUGGUGUGAAAGCCCAUCGCUUAACGGUGGGUUUGCGCCGGGUACGGGCGGGCUAGAGUGCAGUAGGGGAGACUGGAAUUCCCGGUGUAACGGUGGAAUGUGUAGAUAUCGGGAAGAACACCAAUGGCGAAGGCAGGUCUCUGGGCUGUUACUGACGCUGAGAAGCGAAAGCGUGGGGAGCGAACAGG
rnacentral:rRNA from 1 species